UAGGGAAUCUUCCGCAAUGGACGCAAGUCUGACGGAGCAACGCCGCGUGAGUGAAGAAGGAUUUCGGUUCGUAAAACUCUGUUGUUAGAGAAGAACAGCGCAUAGAGUAACUGUUAUGCGUGUGACGGUAUCUAACCAGAAAGCCACGGCUAACUACGUGCCAGCAGCCGCGGUAAUACGUAGGUGGCAAGCGUUGUCCGGAUUUAUUGGGCGUAAAGCGAGCGCAGGCGGUCAAUUAAGUCUGAUGUGAAAGCCCCCGGCUCAACCGGGGAGGGUCAUUGGAAACUGGUUGACUUGAGUGCAGAAGAGGAGAGUGGAAUUCCAUGGGUAGCGGUGAAAUGCGUAGAUAUAUGGAGGAACACCAGUGGCGAAGGCGACUCUCUGGUCUGUAACUGACGCUGAGGCUCGAAAGCGUGGGGAGCGAACAGG
rnacentral:rRNA from 1 species